rnacentral:rRNA from 1 species
UACGUAGGGUGCGAGCGUUGUCCGGAAUUAUUGGGCGUAAAGAGCUCGUAGGCGGUCUGUCGCGUCGGUCGUGAAAACUUGGGGCUUAACCCUGAGCUUGCGGUCGAUACGGGCAUGACUGGAGUUCGGCAGGGGAGACUGGAAUUCCUGGUGUAGCGGUGAAAUGCGCAGAUAUCAGGAGGAACACCGGUGGCGAAGGCGGUUCUCUGGGCAUGUCCUGACGCUGAGGAGCGAAAGCUAGGGGAGCAAAUAGG